UAAAAAAAUUAGGAUAUGAAACAUUGAUGCUCAUUGUAUAUCCGUGUUCAUUUUCGUAUCCUAAAAUUUCAGAUUGUUUCAGAUUCCUUUGUUUUCUUAAUUCUAUAUUCAUAUAGGGGUGUGUGACACACAAAUCCUCUUUCAAGCUUUCAUGGCCUUAUAAAUGGUCCUCUGCACGGCCGGCCCCGUAGUACUCUCAUUUGGUCACGGGACUUGUACUCCAUCUCCUCCAGCACGCCGGCCGUAGUACUCUCAGUCGGUCACGAGACGCGGCUAGCUCGCCAGCCAUGGCUGUCCACGACGAGCCGCUCCACAUCCUCUUCUUCCCGUUCCUGGCCUCCGGACACCUCAUCCCGAUCGCCGACAUGGCCGCGCUCUUCGCCGGCCGCGGCGUCCGGUGCACCAUCCUCACCACUCCCGUCAACGCCGCCAUCAUCCGCUCCGCCGUCCACCGCGCCAACGACUCCUUCGCCGGCACCGGCUCCCCGGCCAUCGACAUCGCCGUCGUGCCUUUCCCCGACGUCGGGCUCCCGCCCGGGGUGGAGAACGGCACGGCCAUCGCGUCCCAGGACGACCGCGACAAGUUUUACAUCGCGGCCGAGCUGCUCCGGGAGCCCUUCGACCGGUUCCUGGCCGACCACCGCACCGACGCCGUCGUGUCCGACAGCUUCUUCCACUGGUCCGUUGACGCCGCAGCGGAGCGCGGCGUCCCGCGCAUCGCCUUCCUCGGCACCAGCAUGUUUGCGCGCUCCUGCAGCGACAGCAUGCUGCGCCACAACCCGCUGGAGAACGCCCCCGACGACCCCGAAGCCCUCGUUUUGCUGCCGGGACUGCCGCAUCGCGUCGAGCUGAAGCGGAGCCAGAUGAUGGACCCGGCAAAGAAGCCGUGGCACUGGGGGUUCUUGAAUAGCGUGAACGCCGCCGACCAGAGGAGCUUCGGCGAGGUGUUCAACAGCUACCACGAGCUGGAGCCGGAUUACGUCGAGCACUUCCGGAAGACGCUCGGCCGUCGCGUGUGGCUCGUCGGGCCGGUGGCGCUCGCCAGCAAGGACAUUGCUGUGAGAGGCACCGACGCGCCCUCUCCGGAAGCGGACAGCUGCCUCCGGUGGCUGGACGCGAAGCCGGCCGGCUCGGUGGUGUACUUCUCCUUCGGCACACUAAGCAAGUUCGCUCCGGCGGAGCUUCACCAGCUCGCCCGCGCCCUCGACCUCUCAGGCGUGAACUUCGUGUGGGUGAUCGGCGCCGCCGCAGGUCAAGAUUCUGCUGAAUGGAUGCCCGAAGGCUUCGCCGAGCUAAUCGCGUGCGGCGACCGCGGCUUCAUGGUACGAGGCUGGGCGCCACAGAUGCUGAUCCUUAACCACGCUGCUCUCGGCGGGUUCGUGACGCACUGCGGCUGGAACUCGGUGCUGGAGGCCGUGAGCGCCGGCGUGCCGAUGGUCACGUGGCCGCGGUACGCGGACCAGUUCAACAACGAGAAGCUCGUCGUGGAGCUGCUCAAGGUCGGCGUCAGCAUCGGCGCCAAUGACUACGCGUCGGGCAUGGAGGCCCACGAGGUGAUCGCCGGCGAGGUGAUCGCAGAGUCCAUCCAGAGGUUGAUGGAGAGCGAUGCCAUCCAGAAGAAGGCCAAGGACCUCGGCGUGAAGGCAAGGAGCGCGGUGGAGAAGGGUGGGUCUUCGUACGAUGAUGUUGGCCGGCUGAUGGACGUGCUGUCGGCCCGCCGGGGCUCCUGAUGAUGUUGGAGAAGACAUCCAGGCCAGCUGAUGGGUAUUGGUCCGAGUGUCCGACAGUAUGUCUUUUUGGCUGAUUAAGGGCCACUAGAUCGGCCGGCAAUCUUUGCUAUGACAGACGUGACGCCAUGGAAUCUUUUUUGUACGUCGCUACUCUAUGAUUUUUUUUGAAAAAUAAGCAAGGAAAAAGGAAAAAUAACUAUAA